rnacentral:lncRNA from 1 species
UGCACUUUCCGUCACUACGCUCCACUCUAUGCUUACUUCGCUCGGAGCAUAAUCACUUACUUGCCUUGUAAGAAAAGGCUUUGGUUUACCUGUAAGAUUGUCUAUCUCGAACAGAUCCGAGCUAGAAUCACUCCCUUCACUUCUUGAUUCCCAUGGAGGAAUUGUGUGUUUCUUCUCGAUAUUUACAGGAGAUCCAAACACUUCAGGAGACUUCCUAUGUACCAACUCUUCUUGCUUCUGAAUCUUGAUCGGUUCUGUGCUCAGAUUCACUGAAGAACUCAACUGAUUCUCGAUCUUGCUCCUAGUGGAAGCAGAGAUAUCUUGAUCAGAGCUUCUCUUAACCGAGAUCUUAUCAUCCACAUCAGAACAGCAUUUACACCUAAGGUUUGAGAGAAAGCUCUUCUUAUUGUUGUUCACCUUUUGAAUCUGACCACUAUUAGUCUUCUUGUCUUGCAAGGAACCGUUGCAGCUAUUCACCAGUUUGUUCUUAAGCAACAAGCUCUGACUAUUCCAGCUUGAUUCAGUACAGACACUCGCCGUUCCAGUAGAUUUCUUCUCUGUCUGCUUCAUUUCAACG